rnacentral:rRNA from 1 species
AUUGAACGCUGGCGGCAGGCCUAACACAUGCAAGUCGAACGAGUGGCGGACGGGUGAGUAAUGUCUGGGAAUCUGCCUGAUGGAGGGGGAUAACUACUGGACACGGUAGCUAAUACCGCAUACCAUCAGAUGUGCCCAGAUGGGAUUAGCUUGUUGGUGGGGUAACGGCCCACCAAGGCGACGAUCCGUAGCUGGUCGGAGAGGAUGACCAGUCACACGGGAACUGAGACACGGUCCAGACUCCUACGGGAGGCAGCAGUGGGGAAUAUUGGACAAUGGGCGCAAGCCUGAUGCAGCCAUGCCGCGUGUAUGAAGAAGGUCUUCGGGUUGUAAAGAACUUUCAGCGGGGAGGCGUUACCCACAGAAUAAGCACCGGCUAACUCCGUGCCAGCAGCCGCGGUAAUAC